GCGCCGGUGGUGUAAAGCGUCGCAUCCUUCCCGAAGAUCAGAGGGAGGGUGCAGGUUCGAGUCCCGCCUGGCGCA
rnacentral:tRNA from 1 species